UACGUAGGGUGCAAGCGUUGUCCGGAAUUAUUGGGCGUAAAGAGCUCGUAGGCGGUCUGUCACGUCGGAUGUGAAAAUCCAGGGCUCAACCCUGGACCUGCAUUCGAUACGGGCAGACUAGAAUUCGGUAGGGGAGACUGGAAUUCCUGGUGUAGCGGUGAAAUGCGUAGAUAUCUGGAGGAACACCGGUGGCGAAGGCGGCAUCCUGGACCGGCAUUGACGCUGAGGUGCGAAAGCGUGGGGAGCAAACAGGAUUAAGAAACC
rnacentral:rRNA from 1 species